rnacentral:rRNA from 1 species
CAAAAACAUCGCCUCCCGCAGAACCUAUAUGGGAGGUCUUACCUGCCCAGUGACUAUAUGUUAAACGGCCGCGGUAUUUUGACCGUGCAAAGGUAGCGCAAUCACUUGUCUUUUAAAUGAAGACCCGUAUGAAUGGUGAAACGAGGGCUUAACUGUCUCCCUUUUCCAGUCAAUGAAAUUGAUCUACCCGUGCAGAAGCGGGUCUAAUAAUACAAGACGAGAAGACCCUUUGGAGCUUAAGAUAAAGACCAAUUAUGUCAAUAAUCAAAAAACACUAAACCAAGUAAUUCUGGUCUACAUCUUCGGUUGGGGCGACCACGGGAGAAAACAAAGCUCCCAUGUGGAUGAGGGUAUAAACCUAAAGCCAAGAAAGACAUCUCUAAGACACAGAACAUCUGACCAAAUUGAUCCGGCAAACAUGCCGACCAACGAACCAAGUUACCCUAGGGAUAACAGCGCAAUCCCCUUUCAGAGUCCAUAUCGACAAGGGGGUUUACGACCUCGAUGUUGGAUCAGGACAUCCUAAUGGUGCAGCCGCUAUUAAGGGUUC